GUGCAUCAUUAUCUUCUUCACUACAACACUCUUCCGUCUCUCUUUCACACAACCCUUCUCUCACGAACUCUCUCUACUUCUCCACUCUAUUAUCUGAAAUAUCCCUCACCAUCUCUGUGCUCACUGCACAGAAAAUUGCAGUACCAUCUCCACCUCAUUCGCCACUCCAGUGAACCUUGCCACCACCCAAACACCACACUGGCACUCUCUCUCUCUCUCUCCUCUCUCCGCCUCUCAACUUCUUCCGUGACAGACAGAAGCACAUAAGGAAUGACGGUGGGGGAACUGCCGUUCUUUGGCGAGGCAACCACCAACUUUAUUUCUCUCGUCACCACAGACUCCCAUUACUUUUUGCUUUUUGGAAACCAAAAUCGACGCAGUGAAAUGACAAGCUCCGUCGUGGCCUGGCUUCCCUGGUGAGAUUUUCCGUUGAAUCUAGUAUAGGUGAGUCUCGAAAACACCUUAGUUAGGUUAUCUAGGUUGUUUAGAAAUGUUUUCGUGCACUGGAUGCCUGAUUUGUUUAAGGUUGGAUGCAGUUUCAACUCGGGAGAAAUUCCCCAGAUUUUCGGUGAGGCUCGCGAGUUUCAAGCUUAUUUUAGGCUAUCACCGGCCGCUGAAUGGCCGUGAGGAAGGUAUAUUUUGAAUCCUUACCUUAGUAACUUUUUUUGGGCUUUUGAAUCACUGAAAAUGAUUUUGUUUUGGGAAUGAAUUCUAAAACCCCUGGUGUAGCUGCAGGGGAUGGCGCGUGGAGUUGUGCGUGGUACUGCUGGGGAUGGCACGUGGUGCACAGACGGCUUCACCGAAUGAUGAGUGGCUGAAAGGAAGAAUAUACGUUUGAAAUCAUUACCUUGUUUUUUUUCUUUAAUUUAUAAUGUUGAUUACUUGGUUCAGUCUAAUCUGUCAAGAAGAGAAACUAUGAGAAAUAUUUUCCUCUAUUCUGAUCUGGUGUUUUCAAAUGUUUGUUUUAGGUUGUAAUGUGUUAUGAUGUUAUUUUAAAUUUUUAUUUUUAUUUUUUAUAUUUAACUGAUAGAGCACAAUUACAAAAAUUGUGCUAACAUGAAUUUGAAAUGUCACCUGACACAUGUGUCGGAACAGGGGCACAAAAAUACACUUAUCUGUGCUCAACCCUUUGAGCACCAAUAGCCAUAUUGUGCUCUCUAAUCAAUGGUGACGCCCAUAGAGGGCAUAUAUACAAAUUUAGUUGUUGCAUCGUUGCUAUUGCUCUAUGGGCACAAUUGUUGGUGCUCUUUAGCCUCAAAUGGCACAUAUAAUUUAUUGUGUGCAGUGCCCAUUUUUGUUGUAGUGUGGUCCUUUUAACUUCGUGCCAUUUUUUGUAUUCGUUCAACCAAGUUAGUGUAUUGCUAUAAAUAUCCAACGGAUCUAGAGCUGAACCACUCCACACAAAGGAAUUGUGUUCCUUCCAGAUACUCCAUACAAUAGCCAAU
rnacentral:lncRNA from 1 species